CAUGGCUACUAGUUGGGUUCAUUACCACUGAGCCACAAUGGGAAUUCCUCUUGGCUUUUACCUUGGUCACUCACAUCUGGAAUAUAUUCCUCUGUUGCCUCGGUUUGCUAAUACUGCUAUUUUUAUGUCUCUGGUAGGUUAGUUGUUUUCUGACCUUAGAGAAGUGGCCUUCUGUGGGAGAUGUCUUAUGUGUCCCAUCAGUUCAUGCUCCCCUUAUCACCCAUGCUAUAUGCUCUAAGGGUUCCUCCUAUGAGGGCUGUGUGGGUCCUUCUGUUUGGGAAGCUGUGUGGGCAGUCUGGUAGGCUUGGGGAAGUCCAUGCUAGAUGCCAGACUCUGCCUCAUGCAGAAGCUUCCGGCUUUGGUUAGCAGGGCUGUGUCACGAGGUGACUGACUGAACCCCAGGGAGCCCUGGGGCUAAUGCUAGCUCACUGGUGGUGGAUCUACGGUCCAGAAGACGCUGGAGCUGUUGCCUGCCCACUGGAAAGAAGUUGGGCUCCAGUCCUUCUAUUCCGCCAUCUUAAUCCCGUCUCCAAGUUGCUAAUCUUUUCCAGUAGAUUCCUUUUUCAUCAAAUCACAAUAAACAGUUGUGAUUUUGGCGUGCUCAUGAAAGGAGUGUGCUGAAAUGCAUUUGAUUUCUGUAUACUGAUCCAACAUCCAGUGCCUAUUAAUGCCUUCGGAUUUGGUCAGGCAGUGGGCUGUGCCCAGCAGGUGGGGCUGGCAGAGCUGCCAGCUGAGGGAGGCCAAAGAAGCCCUGCUCAGUCAGGUGCAGAAAGCACAGGCCCAGGGGCCAGGAAGCCAGGGGACCCAGAGGACACUUGACAUAGCUGCCAGACUGCAAAGAGGCCAAGGAAGGUGCCUCUUCCCCACCCUUGGACGUGGCCAGCUUUACCAGAAAUCUGAGGAUCCCCCUCCUGGAACCCUUCAACAGCCUUGGAGUGGACAGACACCUUCCCAGAGGGCCAUUCAGAAAAUGAAGGGCUAUCCAGGGGCCGAACGACACAGAAAUGUGACCAAAAGGGGACAGACCAGGCCCAUCAGGAGGAGAAGCUACAGGAAGAUAAAGAAGAGCUCUCACAGGGGUUCCCCUGACAGGACGGGACUGCCCCCUCCCGGCAGGCACUUCCCACCUUCCUGUGUGAAUACUACACGGCACUUCAACACUGCACUUGGGGCUAUCUUAAAUCUCCAAAUCCCCAACAAAAAACACCAAAGUGCAGAUUGGUGGAUGGCAGUGAAGACGGACCUGAGCUUACCUCCUCUCACAAAAACAGAACUAACAGCUGAACAACCAUUGACAAAGACUGGAACCUACCAAGAAGAUAAUCUACAUCCAAAGACAAAGAAGCUGCCACAAGGUGAUGCGAGGAAGGGUGCAUUCAUGAUACAAUCAAAUCCCACACCCACCGGGCUGGUGACCUACAAACUGGGAGAUAAUAAUGUAGCAGAGGUUCUCCAACAGGAGUGAGAGUUCUAAGCUCCACCAUCAGGCUCCCCAGCAUGGGGGUCUGGCAUCAGGAGGAACCCCCCAGAACAUUUAGCUUUGAGGGCCAGUGAGGCUCGAGUGCAGGAGCUCCACAGAAGUGGGGAAGAGAGGGUAUAUCCGAGGUCUCAUGUGCACUGGGACAAGGGCAAAGCAACCACUCCAUACGAGCCGGGGUCAGACCUACCUGUGGGUCUUAAGAGGGUCUCCUGGGAGGCAGGGGUUGGCUGCGGCUCCUUGUGGGAGCAAUGACACUGGCGGCAGAACCCUGUGGCAUGCUCAUUAGUGUGAGCUUUCCAGCAGACACCAUUUUGGACCUACCCAACAGCCUGCUGCCUCCAGUACUGGGAGACCUUAGGCCAAACAACCAACAGGGUGGGAAUACAGCCCCACCAUCAGCAGACAAGCUACCUAAAGUCAUCCUGAGCUAACAGCUGCCUCUAAACACACCCCUUGACACGGCCCUACUCACCAGAGGGACAAUACCCAGCUCUACCUACCAGUGGGCAGCGGCCAGUCCCUCCCACCCAGAAACAUGCACAACUCCUGGACCAAUCUCACCCACCAGGGGGCAGAGGUGCCAGAAGCAAAUGCAACUAUGAUCCUAUAGUCUGCAGAAAGAACCAAAACACGGGAAGUUAGGCAAAAUGAAAUGGCAGUGAAAUAUGUUCUGGGUGAAGGAACAAGAAGAAAACCUUGUGGAGAGAGUCCAUCUAUCUGAAAAGUAAUUCAUCAUUAAUGACAGUAAAGAUGAUCCUAGACUUCAAAAAGGAAUGGACACACAGACCAAGAAGAUACAAGAGAUGGUUAACAAAGAACUACAAGACUUAAGGAACAGAGAGGAACAAUAUAGUAACUGAAAGGAAAAAUACACUAGAAGGCAUCACUAACACAAAAAAUGAAGCAGAGGAAUGACUAGGUCUGCUGGAACACAGAAUGUGGCCAUCACUGCUAAGGAACAGAAUAAGAAAAAAGAAUGAAAAGAAAUGAAGACAGUCUAAGAUACCUGAGACCGUAUCAAAUGCACCAUCAUUCACGUUAUAGGGGUCCCAAAAGGAGAAGAGGGAGAGAAUGGGCCUGAAAAAACAUCGGAAGAGGUAACAGUCAAACACUUUCCUAACACGGGAAAGGAAACAUUCGAGUCCAGGAACUGCAGAGUCCCGCAGACAAUAAACCCAAGAAAGAACAUGCCCAGACAGAGAGAGAACAUGAAAAGCAACAAGGGAGUCAUCCUAAGGUUAUCAGCUAACUUUUCAGCAGAAACUCUGCAGGCCAGAAGGGAGUAGCACAAUAUAUUUAAAGUGAUGAAAGAGAAACCUUUACAACCAAGAAUACCCUACCAGCAAGGCUCUUGUUGGGAUUCAACGGCAAAAUCAAAAACACAUGAAAAGAUGCUCAACAUUACUAAUUAUGAGAUAAAUGCAAAUCAAAACUAUAGUAAGGUACCACCUUACACCAGCCAGGAUGGCCA